ensembl:ribozyme RNaseP_nuc Nuclear RNase P
GGAGCAGAAGAAGACCAUCAAUGGGCCAUAUGCAGGGUGCUCGUCUCUAACCAGCCUCUAGAAAGGUCCGAGACUGGCACCUCCCAUGGCCCUAAUUAAGCUCUCCCCAAGUGGGGAGGUGAGUUCUCAGAGAGCAGGGAUCCACUGGUGAGCCGACUGGGCACCCACAUCACCAGAGCUUGGAACAGACUCAAGGCCAACACAGCAAGUUCAAAUUCAGAGUGGUUGAUUACCCCCAUAAUAUUCUUACCACUAUUAUUCC